AAACAAUAUUUUCAUUUCUUAAAAUAUAUUUUUUGAAAUAUAUAUUUUUUAAAAUACAAAACGAAGUUAUUCAGAUAAAUACGAUGAUAAUACGACGAGCGGUGGAUAUACACGGCCAUAAAUGCCAAUCGAUAAAUUCGCGAAACGACAGGGAAAUGAUGAAUCGUUCCGUUUUAUCAUCGUUGUUUUAAUUACAUUAAUUUCGUAAUUAGAACACGCGUUUGUAAACUUAUCUAUGCUACCGAUACGAAGAAUGAAUUUUUUUUCAAUCGUCGCUUUCAGCGAAACGAAAGAAUUCGCGUGAAAUCGAUUUUAACGUGAAUAUCAUUUCAAUUUCGUCGAGAUCUUUCACGCUUUAAUUUAAAUUUAGAAAAAAAAAAAAAAAUUUCUCGAGUAUCGAGUAUGGAAUUCGAAUAAGAAUUUCGUUCCGAUUGAAACGAUUGAAACGACGAUAUUGCGAUCGAUGAUGAAAUAAGUUGGUGGAAAUAGAUUCAGCCUCGGAUUAAAUUAUUAUUACACUUAAAUAAAUAAUGAAUCCCGAUUAAUUUCAUAGAAUGGAAGAGAUACAGCUUUUGGGAGGUUCUGUUUCGAUUUCAAUUUUUUCGAUAACAAAGCUAUUGAAAGCCUAGGUUUCUAGUUUUCAUGGUCGACUCACGUUUCGCGAAAAUAUACGAUUGCCCGGAAAUUGUUGGAUUUCGGGAGAUAUCGUUUCGUUUCUUGCCCGUUUUCACGCGAUACGGCUCGGGUUGCGUGAAAUUAAUUUCGAUAAGUUGAUCUCUAACGCAACAUUUCCAGGGAUGGAAUUUCGAGGAGAGGAUUUGUUUACGCCUGCGUUGCGUUUUAUCGCGUAUGUUACGCCCGGAAACAGUGUAACGUUCAUCACUUCUUUUUUUUUUUUUUUUUGCCGUUUUGUAUAUUUUUUCGAAAAUCUACAAAAACUCGUUCAAUUUUUAAUAAAGGUCUAUUUUUUACGAUCAUCUGGCUCCUGAAUUUUUUCGACAGUUUUUAUUAAAGCCCGUUCAUCUUCGGCUAGGAAUGUAACGAAUAAAAGUAACGAAGAAGAAAAAGAAAAAACAAAAAAACCAAAAAAAAGGAAAGCCGCGAGGAGGGAGAAAAAAAAUAAAGGGAGUAAAAACACAUGAAAAAAAGUAACUUCGCGUGUAUCGCGUGUAAGCGUUUAUGAAAAAGCUUGGUUUACGAGUAUGGCUCGGUUUUAAUUUCGCUGGAAAGGCAGCUGUUUAUUACAAUUGCACCGCUGUAAACGCACCGCUCCACGAUUCUCCGAUUUUAUUCGAAGAAAGUAAUAAAGGAUGGGGGAACGCGCGUUAAAAUAAUUUUAUCAUAUCACCGAGAUCGAACCGUUUUCCCCGAAUUUUCGAUUUUCCAUCAUUUUUUUUUUUCCAUUUACUUCAACGACAGUGCUCGUCACAUAUUUACUUAUAUAUUCGAAUAUUUCCAUUCAAAUAUUUCCAUAUUUAUCGCAAAUCCAUUUAUUUCACUUACUCUUUAUCAUUUUUUCCAUAAACAAUUAACGUCGCAAAUGGGAUAUCGAAAAUUUCCUUUUAUAUUUUCAAAUCAAAAAAUCGAAUCCGAUAUCACGUUCAACCUUCACACCACAGUGGAAUGAACGAUAUUCAGCAACGUAUCCUAUUGACCUUAGAGUCAAGGAUCCGAUACAAGGAAUGGGACGAUACAAGUUGGCUAAAGAAGUGGAUACUAAAGUAACCAAAGGAUACCAUUGAGGGGAGCCACAUGAAACAGGCUCUUCCAUUUCGUCGAAAUUUCUAAUAGUAAAAGAUAGGAUAUCAAAAUAAAAAUCUUGUUCUAUCAACUUUUCUUCGAUAAAAUAAAACUGAAUGCAAUUUUCGAUUUUGCAAUCCAUUUCGCACGAUUUAAUUCCCCUUAAAACGGAAUAAUAAGAGAGACGUAGGUUAAUAAAAAGGUUUAUGCGUGGUUAAAAUCGAUGCUUAAUGUUCUCUUGAACGGGAUAGUUUAUUGCAUGCGACGAUUGCAAAGACUCCCCUUGAUUUUCUUUCGCUCUCCCCGUCAGAAUUAAAUGAUGUCGUUAAAAACGGGAAUUACCUAUUCCUGGCCGCGCGCGAAGUUUUUAAUUCCUCGCCUGCCAAGCUGAUCGAACAAUAAAACCGUAAUGAAUAAUAAACGCGAUGUUUUUACCGCUCGUCGCAGCCAAGAUUGUCGCGAAUUUGUAUCGAUCGAUUUUACGAUUACGAUUUGUCUUUCCAAUAAACCACGUUUUAACGAACGUUCUAUCCCCUCCCUUUCACUCAAUUACCCCUCUCCCUUUAUCGAUCACGCCCGUCAAUUAUAUCAUUUCAAUUCUUACGAUCACAUUUAUUUAACAACCUAACAAAACGAUUUUCGUUUCAAUCGACACUUCCUUUAUGCUGUUGAACAAUUUCGACAUUCCAUCCCUUAAAAAUUUUAAUAUCAUAUCAGGGGAUAUUUAAAUUGGAGUUUAUUUCGAAAACGUGUCAUAAAGGGGGAAAAGCAAGCGUCGUAUUUGACGCGGAAAAAAAGAAACAAAAAAAAAGAAAAAGCUAAAGAGACUCAUUUCUCUUAUCCAAAUUAUCCUCGCGACAAUCCAACCUGUUCUCUCUGUUCUGAUGACGAUUCUCCCUCGACCGAAUGUCAUCGGUGGAUUAAUUAAAAUCGGGACGGAGGGAGGGAGAGGGAUCGAGGCAUCAACGCGAGAAGGGAAUCCUCGAAGGCGAAACAACCAAUGCAAACGCCUCGGGGAGAGUUGCAGAACAUUUCGCGCGAACACUCGGCCACAAUUGCCGUGCGCUUCACGAAACUUCCCCUCCUGUCCGGAACCUGUUGAUGCCACUUCUGCCGAUGUUUUUUCCCUCCUCUCCGCCUUCAGUUCCAACCCUCGAGCGAGCAUCGUUCGCCUCCUCUCUCAGAGAAAUUUUCUCCUCUUUCGUCGCGUUUUCCAUUGCGGGUCAAACCUGCAAUUUUUCUCCCUUCUCCCCCUUUUUCUCUCCUCUCCUUCUUUCCCUCCCGAAAACGAAAUACAUAGCAACGGAAUCUGCAAUUUUAUCAGCGAAAGUGGACGCAGAUUUCAGAAAUUUUUCGUUUCCAAAUGUAUGUACGACGUGUGUAUCGUGUACAACGCGAUUAAUCCUUCCCUUAUUAAAUGGCGUAAUUAAUUAACGGCGCAGCCGCGCGUGCACGCGCGUGCAGCUGAUAUUAAUUAAAUUAGUUUCUGUGUUUUCGUAAGAUUAUACAGGGUGACCAACUCUGGCGUUCGGCCGUGCACGAGUUGCAUCGGUUAAUUACAUCUAACCGGAUUACGGGAUGGAUUGUGCGCAUUCUACGAAUACCGAGGGGGGGAGGGAGGGAGCCAUUGUGCUUCCGCUAACGAACCGGGGCCGCCGAAAAGCUUUUGAAAAUUACUCGAAUUACUCCGAGACCGGGCCAAAUAAUUCCCGAUAAUUAGAUGUCGGUUUGUAAUAACUCAUUCUUAGGGAGAGAGUACUUGGAAGUAUUGCCAUACCUAUCUAGUCAGAUUUCGAUUCGAAUUCGGGGAUGGAAGGCGAAUGAGUGCACGAAUGAAUGAAGGCUUAGAGAUGAAGGAUUAGAGACGUGUUACGUAACACGUAAAAAGAAGAUCUUUUCUCUCCCGCGUAUAAUAUAGCUGAUCGAGCUCCCAUUGUACUUUUAUCUCUUCUGGGAGGGGGGGAAAGAACAAGGGAGAAAUAUGGUUCUAUUCUUUUCCUCCCCGAGUAGUUGUUGAGUUGUAACAAUUUUGUCUCGUCCUACGAAUGCUUAAUCGCUUAAUCGUUCUUCCUCUCGCUCGGACAAAAUCCUUUCCUCCAAGCAACUGCUGCUAUUUAUCAACGUCCAACGAACUAACCAGAUAAAUAAUUUUUCCAGAUUCCUGAGACGAUGAUUUCCACCCGGUGUUCCGAACUCUCGUUUCAACAGUGUAUCUAUAUAUAUAAUAAUCGAUUAAUCGAUUAAUCAUCACCUUCUCGAGGAAAUCGAAUCGAAGGUAAUUCGUUUGUGCUAUUUUUCUUUCUUUUCAGAAAUUAUAGCGAGAAACGAUUAAAAAUGAAAUUGGGCGAAAUUGAGGAAUCGAAGACAAACGACAAACGGAAGAUCGACAACGGUUGUCCUACAACCGUUCGAUAUUUGUAAUUUAAAUAUAUCGGAGCUUUUCUUCUCUCGGGUGAUAAAUGGCGCUCUCCCUGUCUCUCCUCCUUGCCUAACAGGUAAGUCGUAAAGUUUUUCUGAUCAUCGGGAAAAAAUGGGAGGAGGGGAGGAAGACGCGCGAGGAAAUAACGUCUCAACGUGGCCUGUGAUGAAACGAACCGGGCCUUCGGGUUGCCACGAAAAUGGGGCAAUAUUUCGAGAGGCACGCGUUGGCCGAGCCAGCAACGCUACGUCGUAAUUGGUCUUAAUCGGUUCUUCUUCCCGACAAGGCCGUGGUUAAUUGUCCAGAAAAUGAUCAGGAUGGUUUCUUUGAAUUCUUGAGUCUGGACAGCCAUGUGUUGUUCCAAUCCUCCUCGUUUAAAACGAGGAUACAUUUUUAAUUGUUUUGACAAUACUCGUGGAAAAGAGAUUUCAAGAGACAAGAAACAGUGGAGGAGGGAGGGUGCAAAUGCGCGGUAUUUUCCAGGCAAAUAUCGAAAUCAAUCAUUGAACGUGCCAUUCCCUAUAACGUCACGUGCGACAGCGAAGGGGAGGAGAAGUGUCAACAAUUGUGCGUUGCUUUGGCCGAGAGCGCCAGGGACCAGGCACCGCAAAUGAUUUGCAAAAAGCUGAAUAACAACGUGGAAAAUCUUCAAGUCGCCGUAUACGCGAAAGUGUGCGAAGCGACCAGCUGGAAAUUCACAGGUUUGAAAGCGGCGGAUCCAAUUUGCUGCCACGAGGGGAAAAGCAUAGCUUGUGACGAGCCACUCCCGAUGAUCGAAAACUAAAUGAACUCAUUCCCAAUUAUCCCGUAACCCAUUGAUUAGUCCAUUGUGAAAUUUUACAUUAACCAACAUUUGCAAAACAUUUAUUACUUUAUCGCUGGUUAAUGAACCCGCCUGUUGUUUCCAAUACCCGUUAUAAAUGUUUAAUCAUUAUCGAUCCGAUUAUGAAAAUAAAUACGUAAUCCGGUUUAAUCUCA